UGGGGAAUAUUGCACAAUGGGCGCAAGCCUGAUGCAGCCAUGCCGCGUGUAUGAAGAAGGCCUUCGGGUUGUAAAGUACUUUCAGCGGGGAGGAAGGCGUUGUGGUUAAUAACCACAGCAAUUGACGUUACCCGCAGAAGAAGCACCGGCUAACUCCGUGCCAGCAGCCGCGGUAAUACGGAGGGUGCAAGCGUUAAUCGGAAUUACUGGGCGUAAAGCGCACGCAGGCGGUCUGUCAAGUCGGAUGUGAAAUCCCCGGGCUCAACCUGGGAACUGCAUCCGAAACUGGCAGGCUUGAGUCUUGUAGAGGGGGGUAGAAUUCCAGGUGUAGCGGUGAAAUGCGUAGAGAUCUGGAGGAAUACCGGGGGCGAAGGCGG
rnacentral:rRNA from 1 species